rnacentral:hammerhead_ribozyme from 1 species
AUCCAGUUGACGAGUCCCAAAUAAGACAAAACACGCGUCCUGUAU